rnacentral:lncRNA from 1 species
GAGGAACAGGGGCAGGAUGGAGACUCACAGCAGGCCUGCCCCCUGCUGGCAGACUGUAGAAUUGCAACUCUUCGACCUUGGAAGAGGGUGCCGGCGCAAAACAGAACGUGCAGCGGAAAUAAAUGUUGAGAAGGCGUUGAAUCCAAAGAUCAGAGCUGACCUGUACGGCUCCCUUCAGAGUCGACAGUCUCAGAUUCUACCCCUCUGUGGUCCAGGAGAUCAGCAAUCCGUUCUACUUUCCAGCAGCCCAGCACCUGAGACAUGGGAGCUCCUGAAUGCACAUUUGCCGAAUGGAUGAAGGAAUGAGUGGAUAAGCAAUAAAGAUCGACAAAGGGAUGAAGGUUUGGUGGGA